rnacentral:rRNA from 1 species
GAUGAACGCUAGCGGCAGGCCUAAUACAUGCAAGACGAACGGUAAGUUGAGUAGCAAUACUUAGCCAAGAGUGUCGUACGGGUGCGUAACACGUAUGCAACCUACCCUAUACAGGAGGAUAGCCUAGGGAAACCUGGAUUAACCCUUCAUAGUAUUAUUGGAUGGCAUCAUUUGAUAAUUAAAACUGAGGUGGUAUAGGAUGGGCAUGCGUCUGAUUAGUUAGUUGGCGGGGUAAUGGCCCACCAAGACGAUGAUCAGUAGGGGUUCUGAGAGGAAGAUCCCCCCACACUGGCACUGAGAUACGGCCCAGACUCCUACGGGAGCAGCAGUGGGAAUAUUGCGCAAUGGGCGAAAGCCUGACGCAGCGACGCCGCGUGGGUGAUGAAGGCCUGGUCGGUAAAGCCCUGUCGCAGGGG